GAGACAUUGUGCGGCAGCAACGCGUGGCGAAGAGCAUGCAUUGGAGAGGGCAGGGCGGCGGGGCGGCAGCGGCGGGGACGCAGCCUUUAGCACUUGUCAUCUUCCUCGGUGUCGCUGAGCACAUCGAUGCUGGCCCCGCACAUCACGCCCUGCCCGGCCCCUCGCCUCCGUCUCCGGUAGUGCCCGUUGGGCAUCUGCCAGCUGUGUCGCAGCGGUGGGGCCGAGCCGAUGGUGUUGGAACGACCCAGACUGGUGGCCACGGCCGCCUCGAAGGAAGGGUUGUUGCACCCACCUGCCGGUUGGGCGUUUGCGACCUGCCCUCGCUGGGUGACCGGGACUCGCGCCGCCGCUCUGGGGACUCAUCGUGUGCCUGGGGACUCCUCUCCUCUGAGUUGCAGCGGGAGAUGUCAGGGGACAGCAAGUGCUUGCGCUCUUUGGAUCGGCCCCGCUCCCUGCCGCCCGAGCGGUGCCCCUCAGACCUGUGGCCUGCAGCA
rnacentral:lncRNA from 1 species